GCCUACGGGGGGCAGCAGUGAGGAAUAUUGGUCAAUGGACGAGAGUCUGAACCAGCCAAGUAGCGUGAAGGAUGACUGCCCUAUGGGUUGUAAACUUCUUUUAUAAAGGAAUAAAACGAGGCACGUGUGCCUUUUUGCAUGUACUUUAUGAAUAAGGAUCGGCUAACUCCGUGCCAGCAGCCGCGGUAAUACGGAGGAUGCGAGCGUUAUCCGGAUUUAUUGGGUUUAAAGGGUGCGUAGGCGGACAGUCAAGUCAGCGGUAAAAAUGCGGUGCUCAACGCCGUACAGCCGUUGAAACUGGCAGG
rnacentral:rRNA from 1 species